rnacentral:rRNA from 1 species
GGGUUGUGAGGUUAAGCGACUAAGCGUACACGGUGGAUGCCCUGGCAGUCAGAGGCGAUGAAGGACGUGCUAAUCUGCGAUAAGCGUCGGUAAGGUGAUAUGAACCGUUAUAACCGGCGAUUUCCGAAUGGGGAAACCCAGUGUGAUUCGUCACACUAUCAUUAACUGAAUCCAUAGGUUAAUGAGGCGAACCGGGGGAACUGAAACAUCUAAGUACCCCGAGGAAAAGAAAUCAACCGAGAUUCCCCCAGUAGCGGCGAGCGAACGGGGAGCAGCCCAGAGCCUGAAUCAGUGUGUGUGUUAGUGGAAGCGUCUGGAAAGGCGUGCGAUACAGGGUGACAGCCCCGUACACAAAAAUGCACAUAYUGUGAGCUCGAUGAGUAGGGCGGGACACGUGGUAUCCUGUCUGAAUAUGGGGGGACCAUCCUCCAAGGCUAAAUACUCCUGACUGACCGAUAGUGAACCAGUACCGUGAGGGAAAGGCGAAAAGAACCCCGGCGAGGGGAGUGAAAAAGAACCUGAAACCGUGUACGUACAAGCAGUGGGAGCACGCUUAGGCGUGUGACUGCGUACCUUUUGUAUAAUGGGUCAGCGACUUAUAUUCUGUAGCAAGGUUAACCGAAUAGGGGAGCCGAAGGGAAACCGAGUCUUAACUGGGCGUUAAGUUGCAGGGUAUAGACCCGAAACCCGGUGAUCUAGCCAUGGGCAGGUUGAAGGUUGGGUAACACUAACUGGAGGACCGAACCGACUAAUGUUGAAAAAUUAGCGGAUGACUUGUGGCUGGGGGUGAAAGGCCAAUCAAACCGGGAGAUAGCUGGUUCUCCCCGAAAGCUAUUUAGGUAGCGCCUCGUGAAUUCAUCUCCGGGGGUAGAGCACUGUUUCGGCAAGGGGGUCAUCCCGACUUACCAACCCGAUGCAAACUGCGAAUACCGGAGAAUGUUAUCACGGGAGACACACGGCGGGUGCUAACGUCCGUCGUGAAGAGGGAAACAACCCAGACCGCCAGCUAAGGUCCCAAAGUCAUGGUUAAGUGGGAAACGAUGUGGGAAGGCCCAGACAGCCAGGAUGUUGGCUUAGAAGCAGCCAUCAUUUAAAGAAAGCGUAAUAGCUCACUGGUCGAGUCGGCCUGCGCGGAAGAUGUAACGGGGCUAAACCAUGCACCGAAGCUGCGGCAGCGACGCUUAUGCGUUGUUGGGUAGGGGAGCGUUCUGUAAGCCUGCGAAGGUGUGCUGUGAGGCAUGCUGGAGGUAUCAGAAGUGCGAAUGCUGACAUAAGUAACGAUAAAGCGGGUGAAAAGCCCGCUCGCCGGAAGACCAAGGGUUCCUGUCCAACGUUAAUCGGGGCAGGGUGAGUCGACCCCUAAGGCGAGGCCGAAAGGCGUAGUCGAUGGGAAACAGGUUAAUAUUCCUGUACUUGGUGUUACUGCGAAGGGGGGACGGAGAAGGCUAUGUUGGCCGGGCGACGGUUGUCCCGGUUUAAGCGUGUAGGCUGGUUUUCCAGGCAAAUCCGGAAAAUCAAGGCUGAGGCGUGAUGACGAGGCACUACGGUGCUGAAGCAACAAAUGCCCUGCUUCCAGGAAAAGCCUCUAAGCAUCAGGUAACAUCAAAUCGUACCCCAAACCGACACAGGUGGUCAGGUAGAGAAUACCAAGGCGCUUGAGAGAACUCGGGUGAAGGAACUAGGCAAAAUGGUGCCGUAACUUCGGGAGAAGGCACGCUGAUAUGUAGGUGAAGUCCCUCGCGGAUGGAGCUGAAAUCAGUCGAAGAUACCAGCUGGCUGCAACUGUUUAUUAAAAACACAGCACUGUGCAAACACGAAAGUGGACGUAUACGGUGUGACGCCUGCCCGGUGCCGGAAGGUUAAUUGAUGGGGUUAGCGCAAGCGAAGCUCUUGAUCGAAGCCCCGGUAAACGGCGGCCGUAACUAUAACGGUCCUAAGGUAGCGAAAUUCCUUGUCGGGUAAGUUCCGACCUGCACGAAUGGCGUAAUGAUGGCCAGGCUGUCUCCACCCGAGACUCAGUGAAAUUGAACUCGCUGUGAAGAUGCAGUGUACCCGCGGCAAGACGGAAAGACCCCGUGAACCUUUACUAUAGCUUGACACUGAACAUUGAGCCUUGAUGUGUAGGAUAGGUGGGAGGCUUGGAAGUGUGGACGCCAGUCUGCAUGGAGCCGACCUUGAAAUACCACCCUUUAAUGUUUGAUGUUCUAACGUUGACCCGUAAUCCGGGUUGCGGACAGUGUCUGGUGGGUAGUUUGACUGGGGCGGUCUCCUCCUAAAGAGUAACGGAGGAGCACGAAGGUUGGCUAAUCCUGGUCGGACAUCAGGAGGUUAGUGCAAUGGCAUAAGCCAGCUUGACUGCGAGCGUGACGGCGCGAGCAGGUGCGAAAGCAGGUCAUAGUGAUCCGGUGGUUCUGAAUGGAAGGGCCAUCGCUCAACGGAUAAAAGGUACUCCGGGGAUAACAGGCUGAUACCGCCCAAGAGUUCAUAUCGACGGCGGUGUUUGGCACCUCGAUGUCGGCUCAUCACAUCCUGGGGCUGAAGUAGGUCCCAAGGGUAUGGCUGUUCGCCAUUUAAAGUGGUACGCGAGCUGGGUUUAGAACGUCGUGAGACAGUUCGGUCCCUAUCUGCCGUGGGCGCUGGAGAACUGAGGGGGGCUGCUCCUAGUACGAGAGGACCGGAGUGGACGCAUCACUGGUGUUCGGGUUGUCAUGCCAAUGGCACUGCCCGGUAGCUAAAUGCGGAAGAGAUAAGUGCUGAAAGCAUCUAAGCACGAAACUUGCCCCGAGAUGAGUUCUCCCUGACUCCUUGAGAGUCCUGAAGGAACGUUGAAGACGACGACGUUGAUAGGCCGGGUGUGUAAGCGCAGCGAUGCGUUGAGCUAACCGGUACUAAUGAACCGUGAGGCUUAACCUUACAACGCCGAAGGUGUUU